CUCCCGAGUGCUGGAAUUAAAGUCCACCAACGCCCAGCAGGAAUGAUAGUUUCUAAUCCACUAACAUACUCAUUUUCAAUUUACUUUAUAUCCCAGAGACCUUUCCCAACCCAAGGCCCAUGUGACCAGCAGUAACAGUUUCCAAGUUUCUCUAUGAAUUGGUUAUUCUCUCUCUUCUAAAUCAUAUUAGACUACAGCUUCUCUCUCUACUGGAAAUUGUGGUGCUGGCUCACAUUGUUUCCCUAAUGCUGGGGUCACCAGGUCCUUCUCCUUUGGCACUGUCUCCUCAGAAAGCUGCUACCCAGGGACCAGCCCUGUCACCUCACAGAGACUUGAUAUCUGUCUCAGCAGGCACAGCUUCAGAUGUUUCUCAUCUUUUCACUUCUGGACCUCGAGAACCUGAGCCACAGGAGUUCCUCAAAAACAGAAAACACAGAGGCUGCUUCCAGUGGAGGGGCAAGGUGAGGGUGGCUACAUGGGACAGAGCACAUGUCCCAUGCCAGCUUAGAUCAUCUG
rnacentral:lncRNA from 1 species